GAGUUUGAUCAUGGCUCAGAUUGAACGCUGGCGGCAUGCUUUACACAUGCAAGUCGAACGGCAGCACAGGGAGCUUGCUCCUGGGUGGCGAGUGGCGAACGGGUGAGUAAUGUAUCGGAACGUGCCUGGUAGUGGGGGAUAACCACUCGAAAGAGUGGCUAAUACCGCAUGAGAUCUCUGGAUGAAAGCGGGGGACCUUCGGGCCUCGUGCUACUGGAGCGGCCGAUAUCAGAUUAGGUUGUUGGUGGGGUAAAGGCCUACCAAGCCUGCGAUCUGUAGCUGGUCUGAGAGGACGACCAGCCACACUGGGACUGAGACACGGCCCAGACUCCUACGGGAGGCAGCAGUGGGGAAUUUUGGACAAUGGGCGCAAGCCUGAUCCAGCAAUGCCGCGUGCAGGACGAAGGCCUUCGGGUUGUAAACUGCUUUUGUACAGAACGAAAAGUCUCUGGCUAAUAUCUAGAGAUCAUGACGUUAC
rnacentral:rRNA from 1 species